rnacentral:rRNA from 1 species
AAUUGACCUCGGAUCAGGUAGGGAUACCCGCUGAACUUAAGCAUAUCACUAAGCGGAGGAAAAGAAACCAACAGGGAUUGCCUCAGUAACGGCGAGUGAAGCGGCAACAGCUCAAAGUUGAAAUCUGGCCCUUUCGGGGUCCGAGUUGUAAUUUGUAGAGAGUGCUUCGGGGGAGAUCGCGGUCUAAGUCUAUUGGAACAUGGCGUCAUAGAGGGUGAGAAUCCCGUAUGUGACUGCGGAUUGACCCCCUGCGAAGUCUCUUCGACGAGUCGAGUUGUUUGGGAAUGCAGCUCAAAAUGGGUGGUAAAUUUCAUCUAAAGCUAAAUACUGGCUGGAGACCGAUAGCGCACAAGUAGAGUGAUCGAAAGAUGAAAAGCACUUUGGAAAGAGAGUCAAAAAGUACGUGAAAUUGUUGAAAGGGAAGCGCUUGCAACCAGACCUGUCCGUGGGUGAUCAGCCGCCGUUCUCGGGGGUGCAUUCGCUCCACGAUCAGGCCAGCAUCGGUUCGGGCGGUCGGACAAAGGCCUCGGGAAUGUGUCUCCCUCAGGGGAGUCUUAUAGCCCUUGGUGCAAUGCGGCCAGCCGGGACCGAGGACCGCGCUUCGGCUAGGAUGCUGGCGUAAUGGUUGUAAGCGACCCGUCUUGAAACACGGACCAAGGAGUCUAACAUCUAUGCGAGUGUUUGGGUGUCAAACCCAUACGCGGAAUGAAAGUGAACGGAGGUGAGAACCCUUAAGGGCGCAUCAUCGACCGAUCCAGAUGUCUUCGGAUGGAUUUGAGUAUAAGCAUAGCCGUUGGGACCCGAAAGAUGGUGAACUAUGCCUGAAUAGGGUGAAGCCAGAGGAAACUCUGGUGGAGGCUCGCAGCGGUUCUGACGUGCAAAUCGAUCGUCAAAUUUGGGUAUAGGGGCGAAAGACUAAUCGAACCAUCUAGUAGCUGGUUCCUGCCGAAGUUUCCCUCAGGA